CCUACGGGUGGCAGCAGUGGGGGAUAUUGCACAAUGGGGGAAACCCUGAUGCAGCGACGCCGCGUGUGGGAAGACGGUCCUCUGGAUUGUAAACCACUGUCCCCAGGGACGAAGAUGACGGUACCUGGGGAGGACGCUCCGGCUAACUACGUGCCAGCAGCCGCGGUACUACGUAGGUAGCGAUCGUUGUCCGGAAUUACUGGGUGUAAAGGGAGCGUAGGCGGGACUGCAAGUUGGGUGUCAAAUCUACCGGCUCAACCGGUAGCCGCACUCAAAACUGCAGUUCUUGAGUGAAGUAGAGGCAGGCGGAAUGCCUGGUGUAGCGGUGAAAUGCGUAGAUAUUAGGAGGAACACCAGUGGCGAAGGCGGCCUGCUGGGCUUUUACUGACGCUGAGGCUCGAAAGUGUGGGGAGCAAACAGGAUUAGAUACCCGUGUAGUC
rnacentral:rRNA from 1 species